AGACGAUAGACGAUCUGGUUGCGACAUCUGUCACCCCAUUGAUCGCCAGGGUUGAUUCGGCUGAUCUGGCUGGCUAGGCGGGUGUCCCCUUCCUCCCUCACCGCUCCAUGUGCGUCCCUCCCGAAGCUGCGCGCUCGGUCGAAGAGGACGACCAUCCCCGCUAGAGGAGGACCGGUCUUCGGUCAAGGGUAUACGAGUAGCUGCGCUCCCCUGCUAGAACCUCCAAACAAGCUCUCAAGGUCCAUAUUUUAUUUUUGGUUGCACUGGGUCUUCUAUGCUCUGAAGGCUUUCUCUAAUU
rnacentral:snRNA from 1 species